CCGAGCGUUNUCCGGAUUUAUUGGGCGUAAAGCGAGCGCAGGCGGUUAGAUAANUCUGAAGUUAAAGGCUGUGGCUUAACCAUAGUACGCUUUGGAAACUGUUUAACUUGAGUGCAGAAGGGGAGAGUGGANUUCCAUGUGUAGCGGUGAAAUGCGUAGAUAUAUGGAGGANCACCGGUGGCGAAAGCGGCUCUCUGGUCUGUAACUGACGCUGAGGCUCGAAAGCGUGGGGAGCGAACAGGAUUAGAUACCUUGGUAGUNCACGCCGUAAACGAUGAGUGCUAGGUGUUAGGCCCUUUCCGGGGCCUAGUGCCGCAGCUAACGCAUUAAGCACUCCGCCUGGGGAGUACGACCGCAAGGUUGAAACUCAAAGGAAUUGACGGGGGCCCGCACAAGCGGUGGAGCAUGUGGUUUAAUUCGAAGCAACGCGAAGAACCUUACCAGGUCUUGACAUCCCGAUGCCCGCUCUAGAGAUAGAGUUUUACUUCGGUACAUCGGUGACAGGUGGUGCAUGGUUGUCGUCAGCUCGUGUCGUGAGAUGUUGGGUUAAGUCCCGCAACGAGCGCAACCCUUAUUGUUAGUUGCCAUCAUUCAGUUGGGCACUCUAGCGAGACUGCCGGUAAUAAACCGGAGGAAGGUGGGGAUGACGUCAAAUCAUCAUGCCCCUUAUGACCUGGGCUACACACGUGCUACAAUGGCUGGUACAACGAGUCG
rnacentral:rRNA from 1 species